rnacentral:rRNA from 1 species
UGCAUGGCGCUGCUAUACAUGCAGUCGAGCGGACCUUUUAAAGCUUGCUUUUGAAAGGUCAGCGGCGGACGGGUGAGUAACACGUGGGCAACCUGCCUGUAAGACUGGGAUAACUUCGGGAAACCGGAGCUAAUACCGGAUAAUAUAAGGAACCUCCUGGUUCUUUAUUGAAAGAUGGUUUCGGCUAUCACUUACAGAUGGGCCCGCGGCGCAUUAGCUAGUUGGUGAGGUAACGGCUCACCAAGGCGACGAUGCGUAGCCGACCUGAGAGGGUGAUCGGCCACACUGGGACUGAGACACGGCCCAGACUCCUACGGGAGGCAGCAGUAGGGAAUCUUCCACAAUGGACGAAAGUCUGAUGGAGCAACGCCGCGUGAGCGAUGAAGGCCUUCGGGUCGUAAAGCUCUGUUGUUAGGGAAGAACAAGUGCGAGAGUAACUGCUCGCACCUUGACGGUACCUAACCAGAAAGCCACGGCUAACUACGUGCCAGCAGCCGCGGUAAUACGUAGGUGGCAAGCGUUGUCCGGAAUUAUUGGGCGUAAAGCGCGCGCAGGUGGUCCUUUAAGUCUGAUGUGAAAGCCCACGGCUCAACCGUGGAGGGUCAUUGGAAACUGGGGGACUUGAGUGCAGAAGAGGAAAGUGGAAUUCCAAGUGUAGCGGUGAAAUGCGUAGAGAUUUGGAGGAACACCAGUGGCGAAGGCGACUUUCUGGUCUGU